UUUUUUAAACCGUGAAGGGUUGCCUCUUUUUUGUUGUUGUUGUCAUCUUAUUUGAUUGUCUUGAGGUUCAUUAUAGUUCAAUGCAGUGAGAUUCACCCUAGGGUUUUUCUUUUUCCCUCUCUCUCUCAGAUUGUGAAAAAUAGUUCUUCCAUUAACUAGAUCUCUAGAGAAUAUAUCCUCCCCUAACUGGCUUGCAUGGGAAAGCAGACUUUCUAAUUUUAUACCAAAAAUGGGGAAUUUGUGGGUAGGACAUGCUCAUUGAGUUCAUCUGGACCAGUUCCCACCCUGACUGUAGGACUCCUUUGAUGGUGUGUGUGCCAUCUGGGUGUCAAUUUGUUGUUAUAACCUAAAUGACUUUCCUGGGUGACAUAAUGAGAAACCAAGUGGAAAUAGUGUUAAUGCCAUGAAACACAUACGAUGGCUACUCAAAAACUUAGAACCAAACUUUCUCUUCCUCAAGACCAAAUUCUCUGUUUAACUCCAUUAUCCUCAUGGACUCUCUCCCAUACCCAAAGUAACCAAGAGAGAUCCCAGAACACAGAAAGAAGCUUGAAAAUGGAACACAAAUUGGUCCCACAACUAGAAAAAAUAAGUCUGAAAUUCCUCCAUUUGUUGUCACCAUUAACUGUAUCAAAAGGUGUGAUGCAAAGGCUAAAAGGCACUGGUGAAGAAUGAGAGACCUGAACAUGGUAGAUACACCCUAAGGUGACCCAGUGACCCUCCCUCCUCUUGUGUGUGCUUUUGUGUAAUCCCCUUCCUUUGAGGGCGGGUGUGAUCUGUGACUUGUUUCUAAUCAAUAGAAUAGAACAAAGAUGAUGAUGGGAAGUCAUCCCCAUAACUAUUAUAUAAGACAUGAUUUGGUGGGUUGGAGUGAGAGGAUCUUCUUGCUGGCCUGAUGAGGUAAGCAGCCACACAGCAAAGAGCUGUAGGUAGACUCCUGUCUACAACUAGCAAAAAGUUAAGUCCUCAGUUAUACAGCCACAAAAAAAUAUAAUUUCUGCCAACAAACUUAAUGAGCAUGCAAGUAGAUUCUUCCACAGCCAAGCCUCAAGAUGAGAAUGCAGCCCAGGGCAGAAACCUUGAUUGUG
rnacentral:lncRNA from 1 species